rnacentral:misc_RNA from 1 species
ACAAUUUGAUAGAUUUUGAACUUUGCAUGAAUUUUAAUUUUGUUUCAUGCUUCAUAAUUGGUAUGAAUGCCAAUGGUAGUAUGACUCGUCUUAUGAGUUGUAUUUAUAUGAUCAGUUUGCACUUAAUAGCAUACUGACAUGGUGAAGGAGCCUGUAUAUCAUGUAUGAUUUAAACUACUUGACUAGCGGCUGAUAGAAGCUAACCUUAAAAUGCUGUAAUUUUGCUAAUUGAGAGAUAGGAAAGGUGAUCGAAGGGGUAACAGUGUUUCAAGUGGGCCUCGUGCAAUAGUUGAAGUUCUUGUUUAGUUUGUCCAACCAUGUUGCUAUGAAAAUUUAGUGUUGAUCUAUUCUUUAUUUUUUGAAGAUAAAGAAAUCUUUUAAUAGAAAUCUUGAAAUAUGGAGUUAUAACAGAAGU